GGAUAAUAGACAACAGCCAGCGAGGACUCCUCGGAGCAGAGCAUGGCAGUGACACAUCACAUCCUCGGUGUUGUGCCCCAGCGUCUCCUCACUAGUUUUCCUGUCUGGUGACCCCCCUCUGCCUCCAUGCCUUCUCUCUUUCUGCAUAGUAACUCCCACCAUCAUCAUUCCCCUCCUCACGUGUGUCACAGGGCUGUAUCUGGGAUUUUGCCAAAGCUAUGCAUGCAGAUAAGCGUCUGCUACAGAACAACCUCUCCAUUGUGAUGGAGGAAUAAAAGCACUGCACGUCCCAGAUUUUUCAUUUGCAUCCAGUCCUUCAUCAGGUCCUGGUGCUGGAGGAGCCAUGCCUCUCGGAAGACAAAUGCAGUUUAUGUUACUCUUCAGUCGUCAGGGGAAGCUGCGGCUCCAGAAGUGGUAUGUACCGCUGUCUGACAAGGAGAAGAAGAAGAUUACCAGGGAGUUGGUCCAGACCGUAUUAGCCAGAAAACCCAAAAUGUGCAGUUUCCUUGAAUGGAGGGACCUGAAGAUCGUCUACAAAAGGUACGCCAGCCUUUACUUCUGCUGCGCCAUUGAGGACCAAGACAAUGAACUUAUCACCUUGGAAAUAAUUCACCGUUACGUGGAGCUAUUGGACAAGUAUUUUGGCAGUGUGUGUGAACUUGAUAUCAUCUUUAAUUUUGAGAAAGCGUAUUUCAUAUUGGAUGAAUUUCUCUUGGGAGGAGAAGUCCAGGAGACGUCAAAGAAAAAUGUUCUAAAAGCCAUUGAGCAGGCUGACCUGCUACAGGAGGGUCACCACAUCACAAUAACGGGGUCACCUGAGUGAAUGCAGCGACAGUGGGACCGCUCUAUUCCCUCACUAUGGGCCCUCCAAAGACUGCAGAGUACAGGAGGCAGAGACACCACGAAGCGUCCUGGAAGAGAUCGGACUGACAUAAACCCUUGGGCAGCCACCGCCACCUGCGUCUCUUUUUGUUGUCAUAUCAAAUGUUCACUGCCUUCACCUCAGUGUUAAACCAAUAGUGUAAGAUGCUGUCUGUCAGUAUUAACUGUACUGCUAAGCUGCUUUAGUUGAGUCUUCAAUGAAAACUUCUCCAAACGUAUCAACGUAAAGGGACUUGGACAUUGUAGGUCACACGUAACCCAUCGUAGCAAAACUUUAUUUUAUUUUUUCGGGUUCCAUGCUGUUCGGAGGGGAUACCCUCCACAUAUCUGGUUCUGACACUGCCUUUAUACCAGAACUGUGUGUGUGUGAACACGAUCAGUACAAUGGAGCCCAGUCACUAUAUUUUGACAACCAAAGACUGUGCCCUUGUUGACGACAGGUCAUUUUCAUUACAUUAAAGGGAUUGAGGAAACUGUUUACCACUGGAAUUUUUUUUAAUUUUUAUUUUUUUUGUAAACCAAAGAACUUAUAUGCCCUAUAGGAAACCUAUCCCUCCGUUCCGAUAAAGAUGCAUCCACUAUACAGGAAUAGCUCAGCAGUGCGCCAAUCUACAAAGAGAAGCGGGCAGUUCUCAUGGUGUGUGACCAUUAAAGCGCCAGACAAGACGUGACUCACUCUUUUACUUUAUUUUUGUCCAUGUCCAUACACAUUGGCUUCUAUCUAGUUGGUUAGGCCAGUGUUUUCCAAGCGGGGUGCCUCCAGCUGUUGCAAAACUACAACUCCCAGCAUGCCCGGACAGCCGAAGGGUGUCCGGGCAUGCUGGGUGUUGUAGUUUUGCAACAGCUGGAGGCACCCCGGUUAGACUACACUUCUGUAGGUAUUCUUGACGUGAUAAAAUCUCCACUUAGAUUUCAGAAAACCUAUGUAUACAUAUGUGUGUUCUUGUAGAUAUAGCUAGGGCUCCUGUACAUGGCGGUGUCACGGCUGCAGAGUAACUAUAUUCCUGACCCAUGCCUGUGUUUUAAAACAGAACUACACAGUUUAAAAAUAAGGUAGAAAAAAAAAUUGGCGCACUAAUUUACAUGCACAUGAGAAAACUUUAUUUUUUUACCCAUGCACCAUAUGGCGACACAAGUUUAUAUUAUGGCGGCUUGUAUAGUGUCUGCCUAUGCAGCUUUGCCAUAUGCAUGAGCCCUCAUAGUGAGCGAGUCCUGUAUUUGGUUUGCUUGUCUUUGGAUACUAGAACUGGAAUAUAAAUGGCGUCAUUCUCUUAAAUUACAUAUUUUAGGCUGAAAUAAAGCUACCGGGCAGAUGGAAAUACUUAUUACAAGCUUAUUUUGCUAUGCUGCAGCCCUGUGUGCACAGUAAGGUUUGGAGGCGGGCCCAGCAAAAUACACCACGCCUUUCCCACUGCCCGGCGGAUUUAUUGCAGCGUAUAAUUUGCCACAUAGCGUUUUUUGGGGGGGGGAGGGCAAAAAAUAAUAAUUUAGUCCCACUUGGCGUUUUUUGACUCUUCAUUUGCAUUUUUUGGCUUAUCGGUAGUUAUAAAUCACAAUAUGCUGAGACUACUGUCUUUUUUUUUUUCCUUCUUUGCUAGAAAAGAAAAAUGCAAGGUGGGCGAUUUCUUUUUUUUUCCCAUUUCCUACCCCCGAAUUAUUAAAAAGAAAUCCUUGAGUCACAUGAUAAAAGAAUCACAUGACUUGUCAUGAGAAAAAUGCCAAAGUAAGAAAGACUUAAAGGGGUACUCCAGUGGAAAAAACAUUUUCAACUGACUCCAGAAAGUUAAAGAGAUUUGUAAAUGACUUCUAUUAAAAAAAUCUUAAUCCUUCCAGUACUAAUCAGCUGCAGUAUGCUCCACAAGAAGUUCUUUUCUCUUUGAAUUUAUUUUCUGCCUGACCACAGUGCUCUCUGCUGACACCUCUGUCAAUGACAGGAACUUUCCAGAGCAGGAGCAAAUCCCCAUAGCAAACCUCUCCUGCUCUGGACAGUUCCUGACAUGCACAGAGGUGUUAGCAGAGAGCACUGUGGUCAGACAAAAAAAAAAGAACUAUACCACUUCCUCUGUAGUAUACAGCAGCUGAUAAGUACUGGAAGGAUUAAGAUUUUAUAUAGAAGUAAUUUACAAAUCUGUAUAACUUCCUGGCACCAGUUGAUUAAAAAAAAAAAAAAUUCCACCAGACUAACCCUUUUAACCUACUGUUUAAAAAAAAAAAAAAAAGGCAUAGAUCUGCAUCUUGGGAGCGCAAAAUGAUGGCACUUUUUGUGACUUAAUUUCAGGUUAAAAAAAAAAACGCCAAAAUUAAAUUGUAUGGAAACAUAGCCUGACACGUCGCAGCCAAAAGCAUUUUGAUUAAUUGCUAAGCCUUAUAGCACACUGCAACCAUCCUACGCGAAAGGUAGAUAUAUACGCAAAAGGAAAAAUAUAUUAGGUUUUAUUUUUUGGGUAAGACAGAAGCACACAAAAAAAAAAUUCCCAAGCGAAGAUUGAACGUGUCUUAAAAAACUUAAAUUUCCCUAAAUCUGCCUCUUUGCCCAGGUUUUAAAGCCAAUAAAUGUAAAUUGUUGGUACCAAAGGGUAUAGGGUACAAGUAUAAUUCACAUACUGGUAGGCCAGUUCUAUCAGGUGUUUUUGCCCACAUAUGCCUCAGUCUGAAAUAGCAUUUCCCAAUCUGAGCUGUUGCAAAACUACAACUCCCAGCAUUCCCGGACAGCCGAAGGCUGUCCGGGUAUGCUGGGUGUUGUAGUUUUGCAACAGCUGGAGGCAUACUGAUUAAGAAACGCUGAUCUAAAAGGAGUUGGUCCAGAUCAGACUACACUUUUAGGGUACGUUCACACAAGUAGAUCCCCAGCGCGUAUUACGCUGCGGAUCCGCCACUGAAGGACCGAUGUAUGCUGCCUUUACCGGUGCCUGCUCGGAGCGGCAAUACGCAGCUACGAGCAGACACACUGAAGCGAUGUGCGAGUCGGUGCGCAUAUGCGGUGUAGUUGCACACAUCGAGGCCGCUCCCCCUGCUCUAUGAGCUAGGCAGAGAGCUGCCGCGAUAUGCGAGUAUACUGCGCAUGCGCACGGCAACUCUUACAUCGCAGUGUGUCUGCUCAUAGCGGCGGAUUGCCGCUCCGAGCAGGCACUUGUAAAGGCAGCAUACAGCGGUCCUUCAGCGGCAGAUCUGCAGCGUAAUACGCGCUGGGGAUCCCCUCGUGUGAACGUACCCAAAAAGGGGUCUGUUUGAGAUUAUGAAAAGGUUUCCCCCCCACUAGACACAGCACCACUCCUUUCCAUGGGCCAUGCCGGGUACUGCAGCAUUCAAGUGGAAGGGGAAAAAGCUGCAAUACCAUACACAUACCUUCUUUAUUUUGUCUCCCAAUAGAUCGGGUCAAUGAUUUAACAAUUCUGCCGUGUAUGAAGCCAGACUACAAAAUGUAAAACGAAAAAAAUAUACAAAAUCGAAUAAAGUACCAUUGUCUGAGCAGUAUUUUAUAAAAAAAAAAAGACAAAAAAAAAAUUCUGUAUCAUGUUCCUAUGUGUGUGACUAGCAGCCUCACAAUUAAACGUCACCCUAUUAGAUAACAUUCAAGGUGAAAAUGUCAAAUCUAUCAUUCAUCUGUUUUGGUUCUUUUACAAUGAUUUCCAGUUUUCCCUGCUUUAUGUAGCUGUAAAAUGCUUUGGUCAACGGGGUGGAUCCUCUGUUAUUCUUCCUGGAAAUAUAAGAAUAGACUAGCUGGGCAUCUUAUUCAUCAAUAGGUUGUGUCCUAUACACUGUGAUGGUCCCAGCAUUGAUUGGACAGUAUCAGAUUAAAUAAGGACAUGUC